ensembl:snRNA U6 U6 spliceosomal RNA
CUUGCUUCAGUGGCAACAUAUACUAGAAUUGGAACACUACUGAGGGGACUAGCACGGCCCCUGCCCAAGGAUGACACGCAAACUCGUAAAGCUUCCAUACUUCGG